rnacentral:rRNA from 1 species
AUGAACGCUAGCGGUAUGCCUGAGAUAUGCAAGUCGAACGUCGUUUUGCAGCAAUGCAAAAUGUAGUGGGCGGACGGCUGAGUAACGCGUAGAAAUCUACCCCUGGGUAGAGAAUAGCUCACCGAAAAGGUGGGGGUAACACUCUAUAUGCUCUCACGAGUAAAGAGCUUAAACUGCUCGCCGAGGGAUGAGUCUGCGUCCUAUCAGGUUGUUGGUGGGGUAACGGCCCACCAAGCCAACGACGGGUAGCUGGUCUGAGAGGAUGGUCAGCCAGAGGGGCACUGAGACACGGGCCCCACUCCUACGGGAGGCAGCAAUCAGGAAUAGUCGACAAUGGGGGGAAACCCUGAUCGCGCGAUACCGCGUGCAGGAAGAAGCUCUAACCGAGUGUAAACUGCUGUGGUAGAGGAAAGAAGUUGGCCUUAUGGUCAAUUGACGGUACUCUACUAGAAAGGAGCCGCUAACUGCGUGCCAGAAGCGUCGGUAAACACGUGGGCUUCAAGCGUUAUCCGGUGUAAUUGGGCGUAAAGAGUCGUGUAGGCGGCCUUACAAGUCCCGACUUAAAGACUGUGGCUCAAACCACAGGAUAGGUCAGGAUACUGUGAGACUAGAAUUUACUUUAGGGAGAUCGGAACUGAAGGAGGAGUAGUGAAAUGCGUUGAUACCUUCAGGAACACCAGUGGCGGAAGGCGGAUCUCUGGAAGUUAAUUGACGCUGAGACACGAAAGCUAGGGGAGCGAAGCAGAUUAGAGACCUGCGUAGUCCUAGCCCUAAACCAUGCUUGCUAGCUGCAUUUGUUCAUUUAUGAACAGGUGUGGCGCAGGUAACCCGUUUUAAGCAAGCCGCCUGGGGAGUACGGUCGCAAGGCUGAAACUCAAAGGAAUUGGCGGGGAGGCACACAACCAGUGGAACAUGUGGUUCAAUUCGAAAACGAACCGAAGAACCUCACCAGGGUUUGACAUCCAAGCGUUCACGGUUUAUGGAAACAUAGACUAUCCGCAAGGAGGCUUGGACAGGUGCUGCAUGGCUGUCGUCAGCUCGUUCCGUGAGGAGCACCCUUAAGUGGGACAACGAGCGCAACCCCCACCUUAUGUUAAAUCUGUCAUAAGGGACUGUCCCGACAUUAGUCGGGGAGGAAGGAGGGGCAGACGUCAAGUCAGCAUGGCCCCUUAUACCCUGGGCUACACACAUGUUACAAAUGGACAAAACAAUGGGCAUUGCUACCUGGCAAACAGGAGGCGAACCCCUUAAAUUUGUCUUCAGUUGGGAUUGGGGUCUGCAACUCGACCCCAUGAACUCGGAAUUGGUAGUAAUCGCGGAUCAGCUAUGCCGCGGUGAAUACGUUCUUUGCCUCUUGCACACACCCGCCCGUCAAGCCAACAAAGUUGGGAAUAUUCGAAUCAUCUUUUUUAGGUGAGAGGAUAUUCUUGGCGAUGGGGGUU